rnacentral:lncRNA from 1 species
CCUCUUCCUUCUUUAACCCGGUGUCUGAGGAGUUUUGUCUGUGGCUCAUCCUGCUACAUUUCUUGGUUCCCUGACCGGGAAGUGAAGCAGCCCCUUAGGUGGCUUAGGCUUGCCCUGUGGAGCAUCCCUGCAGGGGACUCUGGCCAGCUUGAGCUACGUGGAUCCUGAGCAUGCUCCUGGGUAGGCAUUUGCCCCGGUGGAAUGCCUUGUCAGAGCAGUGCAUGGCAGGCCCCAGCAGAGGAUCAAUGCAGUGGCUGAGCACCGGGAGGGAACUGGCGCUUGGAGUCCGUAUAUCUGGAACAUGGGCUUAUUUGGCCUCCCCAGGACGGACUGGAGCA